rnacentral:rRNA from 1 species
AUGGUGGGGGGAGGCGAUAUUGACAGCAUGUCAUGUCCUAAACCGAGUCCCCACAAAGAACAAAGAGAUAACUCCAUUCGAGAAAUGGGAGAAGAAAAGGUUAAAGCUCUCUUAUCUACGAACCUGGUUUUUUUUGCGAAAGUCAAUGUGCCAAUUCCAAAGAAGCGCAAGCUUGGACCAAAGACCGUGGAUUGUGUUUUCCUGAAAUGUGGGUUAGAUUUAAAUGUGCUAGUCAUACUCUUCAUGAUGCUCUCUUUAUGUUUCAAUUCUUAUCUUUUAUGUGAGCAUCAUUCAAAUCAUCAUGCCUAG